ACGAGGUAUAGAGAAAUGAUAGAACACCGUCACAUUCUAUGUUUCUAUAAGGAAAAGCCAGGGGUCAGGGAUGCCAGAAAACAGGAAAGUCAAAAUCAAUGCCAAAGUCAAAUUACCAGAAUAACCAGAAUCAAUAACGCGCUCUCAGACAACCACAAGGGAAACCAUGACAGGGCACUGAGCAAGGAGAACUGGGCCUAAAUACCCC